AACGAACGCUGGCGGCAUGCCUAACACAUGCAAGUCGAACGAGACCUUCGGGUCUAGUGGCGCACGGGUGCGUAACGCGUGGGAACCUGCCCUUAGGUUCGGAAUAACUCCCCGAAAGGGGUGCUAAUACCGGAUACUGUCUUCGGACCAAAGAUUUAUCGCCUUUGGAUGGGCCCGCGUUGGAUUAGCUAGUUGGUAGGGUAAAAGCCUACCAAGGCGACGAUCCAUAGCUGGUCUGAGAGGAUGAUCAGCCACACUGGGACUGAGACACGGCCCAGACUCCUACGGGAGGCAGCAGUGGGGAAUAUUGGACAAUGGGCGAAAGCCUGAUCCAGCAAUGCCGCGUGAGUGAUGAAGGCCUUAGGGUUGUAAAGCUCUUUUACCCGGGAUGAUAAUGACAGUACCGGGAGAAUAAGCUCCGGCUAACUCCGUG
rnacentral:rRNA from 1 species